rnacentral:misc_RNA from 1 species
AAGUCGUAACAAGGUUUCCGUAGGUGAACCUGCGGAAGGAUCAUUAACACUUACCUGUUCAUGCUUGUAACAAAGCUAUGAACAUGUAUACCAACACAACCUCUGUGCUCCCUUUCUUUUUUCCACACCUUUUUAACCCAUACACAUAGAAAUAUUCAAAUUCAGUAUGUUGCUUAACCGCACCAUAUGUUGUUUAGUUUAAUGAAUACUAUUUCAAAUGUAGUGUUAAUUCACUUACGUUUUGAUAUAUGUAUUUGUGACACACAACUCUUAACAAUGGAUAUCUUGGCUCUC